rnacentral:piRNA from 1 species
UGGAGGUCUUAAUGGGCAAGUGGGAGG